CUGAUGCAGAUGCUUUUGGGUUCAGAAGUGGGAAAUUGUUCCAUGGAGUUAUCUGCCUAUCUACCUUUUUCAUUUUGUUCUUUCCUGCCAGGUAAAGAUGGGACCAGGUGCUUCCUUCCAUCUCCCCAUUCUGAGCUUCCUGGUCAUCUCCUUUCUGCAAGCCAGCUCAGCAGGUCCUUCCUGCCCCACUGGUUGGACGUUCUUUGAGAAAAGCUGCUACGGACUCUUCACCCAGGUUCCCCUGGACUUACAAAGGCAGAGGAGCAGUGCCGUUCUUCGGGGAGAAAUGGCCACCUGGCCUCCUUCAUGAGUGCCCAAGAAAUGUCUGUAGUGGCUGCAUAUGUCAAAGACCUCUAUACAGCUGGGAAACCUGUCUGGAUUGGACUGCACACCUACAAUAUGGGCAAAGCAUGGAAAUGGACCGAUUUAUCCACAGUCUCCUAUCAAAGUUGGGCACGGGGGCAGCCCUCAAAAUCCAUGGAUAGGCUGUGUGUUGAGCUGAUGGCAAAAGAUUAUUUAAAAUGGAAAGCUGUGCCAUGUACAGGAAAGCAGCCCUUCCUGUGCAGAGUUCCUUUGGAGAAGAGACGUUAAAUCAGGAUUUCAACAUGUCCAGAAUCAUGGAGAAAUGGAACUGCCCCAGAGGAGAGGCCCUUCCUUCCCGACGGCACAAGUCACCCAGUGUUCUGACCCCAUAGAGUGCCUGGGGUUAAA